rnacentral:rRNA from 1 species
UACCAGCACCCCGAGUGGUCGGGACGAUUAUUGGGCCUAAAGCAUCCGUAGCCGGCCUUACAAGUCCUCCGUUAAAUCCAGCUGCUUAACAGAUGGGCUGCGGAGGAUACUAUAAGACUAGGAGGCAGGAGAGGCAAGCGGUACUCAGUGGGUAGGGGUAAAAUCCGUUGAUCCAUUGAAGACCACCGGUGGCGAAGGCGGCCUUCUGGACAGUGACUGACGCUGAGACGCGAAAGCGUGGGGAGCAAACAGG